CAUUUACUGGUAUGCACAUCUAAUAACAGAUGCACAAGAGUGGGCACCAAGCUCAGGAAUGGGGUCAUUUAUUUCCUGUGUGUCUAGUGACAAAGAUCAUUAAACUUAAUAAAUUCUUAUGUACAAGUAUGAAAAUCAGAAUUGCAAAAGGGGCGGGGGGGCAUUAUGGAUUUGUAAAAGUGUAAAAAAAAAAAAAAAAAA